GCGCCUGUAGCUCAGUGGAUAGAGCAAUGGCCUCCGGAGCCAUGUGUCGCACGUUCAACUCGUGUCAGGCGCG
rnacentral:tRNA from 1 species